AGUGAACGCUGGCGGUAGGCCUAACACAUGCAAGUCGAACGGCAGCACAGUAAGAGCUUGCUCUUACGGGUGGCGAGUGGCGGACGGGUGAGGAAUACAUCGGAAUCUACUUUUUCGUGGGGGAUAACGUAGGGAAACUUACGCUAAUACCGCAUACGACCUACGGGUGAAAGCAGGGGAUCUUCGGACCUUGCGCGAUUGAAUGAGCCGAUGUCGGAUUAGCUAGUUGGCGGGGUAAAGGCCCACCAAGGCGACGAUCCGUAGCCGGUCUGAGAGGAUGAUCAGCCACACUGGAACUGAGACACGGUCCAGACUCCUACGGGAGGCAGCAGUGGGGAAUAUUGGACAAUGGGCGCAAGCCUGAUCCAGCCAUACCGCGUGGGUGAAGAAGGCCUUCGGGUUGUAAAGCCCUUUUGUUGGGAAAGAAAAGCAGCAGGUUAAUACCCCGCUGUUCUGACGGUACCCAAAGAAUAAGCACCGACUAACUUCGUG
rnacentral:rRNA from 1 species